UACGUAGGGUGCAAGCGUUAAUCGGAAUUACUGGGCGUAAAGCGUGCGCAGGCGGCUUUGCAAGACAGAUGUGAAAUCCCCGGGCUUAACCUGGGAACUGCAUCCGAGACUGCAUUGCUAGAGUAUGGGAGAGGGAAGCGGAAUUUCUGGUGUAGCAGUGAAAUGCGUAGAUAUCAGGAGGAACACCCGUGGUGUAGACGGCCUGCUGGACGGUCACUGACGCCUGGAGGCACGAAAGCGUGGGGAGCAAACAGG
rnacentral:rRNA from 1 species